rnacentral:tRNA from 1 species
AGGGAUUUAGGAUAAAUCUAGACCAAAAGCCUUCAAAGCUUUAAGCAGGAGUGAAAACCUCCUAAUCUCUG